rnacentral:rRNA from 1 species
GACGAACGCUGGCGGCGUGCCUAAUACAUGCAAGUAGAACGCAGUUGCGAACGGGUGAGUAACGCGUAGGUAACUGCCUCAUAGCGGGGGAUAACUAUUUGAAACGAUAGCUAAUACCGCAUACUGCGAGAUGGACCUGCGUUGUAUUAGGUAGUUGGUGAGGUAAAGGCUCACCAAGGCGACGAUACAGAGCCGACCUGGGAGGGUGAUCGGCCAAACCUGGAAUGAGGCAAGGGCCCGACGCCCACGGGGGGCAGCAGUAGGGAAUCUUGGGAAAUGGGCGGAAGGCUGACCGAGCAAAGCCGCGGGAGUGAAGAAGGUUUUCGGAUCGUAAAGCUAUGUUGAUAGAGAAGCGGUACCUAACCAGAAAGGGACGGCUAACUACGUGCCAGCAGCCGCGGUAAUAC